rnacentral:lncRNA from 1 species
UCUUGUGCUGCAUUGCAGACUAGCUUUGCAUGCUGCUGUUGAGCCUUCUAAGAUGUGUAAUACUUACAAUUCUUCAUAAGUGCUUUAGAUUUCAUUUCUUUACCUAUGUAUAAGUUAUAAGUUUUAUUCCCAUAGUUUCUUGAUUCUAGAUUCUAAAUAAUGAAAAGUAAACCAGUGGUUGCCAUAGUUUUUCCAGGUUUGUAAGUUGGCUUCAUAUCUGCUUAGUUCUUUGAAGUAACAGGGCAGUGUGCUUUAUAGAGCAGUGAGCCUGGCUGGGAUUGAGCCGUGUUCUGAAGCCUGCUUCCAGGUUGUUUGAGAUGAGUCCC